GCGCGGCGCGUUGUGAUGACGCAUAAAACAGCGACAGCUUCCGGCUUAGCGGCCAACAUGGCGGCCAUGGUAGCAAUGGCGGCUGAGCUGCGGGUGUGGGCGGCCUCAGUUCGGCGAUGGGAUGAGGCCUGGAGGGCUUCUAUAGCCGCUUUUAAUCCGCUGUUGGCCUCGCUGGCCGGGCUGGCGGCUCAGAUGAGGGCUACGCAGCGUUUAGAGUGGGGAGGAACGCCGUUAGGGGCCUACAGCGAGCUGAAGGAGAGGCUGUGGAGGAAACAACGCGGAGCGGCCGAGGCGCUGAUGGAGGAGAUGAACGAGAGGAGGGAGGAGCUGCACGCCGUGAGGGACGCAGUUGGGGCCGGCUUAGCUGCUGUGAUGCGGUUGUACGAGGAGCAGGUGGCAGAGCUGGGCCUAACCGAGGUGCUGAGACGUGAGCCGAGCCGCCCAUCGUUGGCUGAUGUUCUGGAGGGACUGCAGGAUGUGGAGCGUUACUAUCGGUAUAUGUAUCCUUCCUCGUGGAUAUCCUUCCUCCUGUUGGCUGCUCUUUUUGUCUGUGUUGUCCUUAUGCGGUUUGAAGGUACCUGGAGAUCAAACAGUUCCUCCUGCUCAUCAGCUGUGAUAGCCUGGCAGAUAUGGAAGCUCUCCCACAGACAUGGGAGGGGAUUUUGGAGCGUUAUGGGGAAGACACUAUUCAAGCUGCGUUAUUAAAACAAACACAUUUGUGGACCUGCAAAAAGAAAGAAAGAAAAAGAAACGAAAACAAAAGAUGAGAUUGAAGCUUUCCCAAGGGCGAUAUCUGAAAGCUGGGCAACGUUAAGAUCGACGUUCAGUCUUCAUCUUUUGAACCAAACAACGGAGGGAAAUGACACAUCAUCGAGUUAACCACUGGAAUUAGCAGCGCAUUCUUUAAUGGAGACAGGUUAAUUCCUUGGGUCACAUCCUCAUGACCUCUUUCUGCAGGUUCUGCAUCUUCAGGGCUUGUGAAUCGCAUCCCUGUGCAUGGACUGGGCCUCUCCCUGCAUUAUCACUCUUGGGUUGGGUGGGAGAGCAAACAGCCUUUGUCCUUAUGAAGAUGCAAUUUAGUGGCACGGUGGGGAUGGGUUGGUGGUUGGGUUCAGCCUUAGGGAUCUUUUCCAACACUUGUAAUUCUAUGAUUCUGUUUCUUUGCAUAGUUUUUUUUUUCCUUAAAGUUCCAAAUUUCGGACUUAAUUGAAAGCUUCAGAGAGAGGGAGACUCUCACCCUUUGUAUGGGAACUAGCCUGAACAGACUGACCACCUGAGGCAAGCAAUGAGUCAGUCAUGGGAGAGCAGGCGAAGGCAAUUCACCUGUGCUACCAGAAGGGAUGGAGCUUGGCUGCACCUCUCCUAGACCCCACUUAAGGACUGACUGCCACUAAGGAAGGAUCUCUCUCUGGAGAUUGCUCCUUUGUGGAGUUUUACUGUGAGCCUUUAACAUCACUUUAUCUGAGAAAAGAGAAGACAUCCAGAUUCCUUGGAAAAGGAAGAAAAAUGCUUGAAAAUGUGUCACUCUUAAAGACUGAGAAUACAGCUGAAACUAAGGAGGAGCACAUCUCCAUCAGUGUGUUAAACCUGGACUUCGGAGCAUUGCCUGGGGAGCACCAUGAUCAAGAAACCAAACAGCACUGCAGCAUGGUCAGGUAAAAGGGGUUGGGAUCAGCUGUACCUGGAGGCUCUGUGCACCACACUGCGCUCACCACAGUGCCAUGUAGACAGCCCAGAGCACUGAUGCUUUGCCGUCAGACAGGGCUGCAAGCCGUCCCCUCCUGUCCCAGCCAGGAUUACACAGCUCCUGCCACCCUGCCCUGAGUGCUGGCAUCCUUUUGUUCCUCCCUCCUGCCCCAGGGACAAUAAAACAAGAUUUUAAAGGGACCAAAGGAGAAUGUCAUCUCUGUGGGGCCGGGUAGGCUGGGACAUGUAGCAGUCUCAGGACAGCAGAGUUAAGUGAGUGUCCGUUGCUGUCAGGGAUGGCAGCCAGCGAUUUAUUUUCCACAUUAAUUUUGAUUAUGAGUCCUUACAUGGUUACAAAGCCCAAUUUUCACAGGGGAAAUCUGCCCCUCCACACACAGGACAACAAAUCAGCUUGACCUAAAGUUGUUCUUUCCUAAAUUUCUUGUGGAAUCUUGGCUGGACACAAGUUGUCUCAAAUGCAAUUACACUGUCAUAAAUAAUUUUCCACCUCUUUUUUCUGUCUCAACCAUCCAGCUCCCCUGGGGUCAGUGGAAAUUUCCCCCUUUUAUUAGGUUAGACGAAUUGGCACAGAGAAGAACUCUGUGCUCAUGGCAUCAUUGUCUGCUCUGAGCCAAAUCCUCAGAGAUCUCCCUCCUGCUAACACAAAGGACGUGGCUGGGCAGGAUAACGCAGCCGUGGUUGGGGUCAGACUGCCCUGAGCAUCCCCCCAGUACCCCUGCCCUGGGAAACACCCAUAAUAUUGCUGCAGAAACCCAGCUGGAGUUUGCAGGCCUGGAGCAUCUUCUCUGCUGGGAUGGGAAGGGACAACAUAGAGCUUCCAGGCAAGUAUGUGCUAGAAAUGCUUUGCUGCAUUUACACGUUAGCAGAGGGUUUUUAUGCACGUAUUUCUCAGCUCCUGCUCCAUUUCCAAGCCAUACCCUGCCCUCUCCUGUUCUCAGAGCCAGGCAGUGCGACCGAGCCCUCCCAGACAAUGGCUCAGCAAUGUGACUAACAGCUGCCACAUGUGGACACGUCCUCCUGCUAUUUAGUACCAGACUGUGCUCUAUUUUUUUUUACUGUGCCUUUCAUACGAACUGCAUCCCCAAACCACUUCACAGAGCGGACUAAUUAAAAUCAUGGGUACAAAGCCAUGCAGGGAGAAAAAACCCUCUUGAAGGGAUCCAAAGAGUGAGGGGAUCACGUUCAGCCCACAGGCUCCUCUGCAGGGUGACCGGUGGGUUCCUCCCUUCUCUCAGUCACACCCAUUUGAAAUCCAGGCAGAUUUCAUUAAUUCAGCCCCUUCGAGGGCUGGUAAACAAUUUUCAAGGGUCAUUAGAAGCGUUAUUGGACCUAAAACCCCUGUGCUGCUGUAGGAGCAGCAAGCCGCUGCCAGUAGGAGCCAGGGCACGUGGCAGGGCGGGACAUGGGGGGAAUACAGAGAGAGGCUGCAGCUUCCUUUGUGUCUUUUUGCACCUCCUGGAGCAUUUCAGGAAGAUGGGAGGAUGCUGUUCAUAGGUAUAAGGAACAAGCAUCCCCAGCCUUCCCAAGCUGCAGCCCGUGGGGCAUGAACGAGGUGGUUCAGGCCACAUGAGAUUGUGGCAAAGCCUCCUAAUUUUGGAUGCAUCUCUUGCAGCAAGGAGGAGUUUGUUUCUUGGAGCUCAUAGAGGUGGGACUGUUUUACUCUCUGUCCUUACGUGGGAUCUGGUUUCUGUCCAAACAAAGAGUUCAUCCUCUUCCCAUUCCUGCGACAGCGUGUUUUGAAUUAAAUCAUAUCUAAGGCACUCAGGAAAGUGUGAAGCAAUAUUUAUUUAGAGGAUGAAAGUGUUGGGAGAGCAGAAAGAGGACAAUUCAAUGGGAUGGCGUUGGCCAACGUUAGGAACUGAUGAACAGGAAAACACAGAGGGGACUGAACCCAUGAGCCAGGCCAGGGCUCUGCCAGGACUCUGAGCUGCAUUACUCAAUCAGUGGAAAGUCCAGGUAAAGCACAUCCCCUGGCUGCACAUGUGGUAGUGAUUUGAGCAGAUAUGCUGUCAGAGCGACGCUGACAUCAUAGCAAGAGGUAUUUACAGCCAACACGGAGGGCUUGGGGUGGACCUCAGCCCCCUCUCCUUUUUCUUUCUUUUUUUUUUUUGUUUUAUUCUGAGCUGUUAUUAUGAAGUAUUAUUUAUGAAGUGGUGAGAGCAUGAGCAGCGCAGGCCUGCCAAACUUAAAGCACUUUUCAUUUAACAGAAUGAAAAUUAUUUUAACAUGAGUAUCUAAAGCAAAGAUCCGCAGAUUCUGGACAGCUUUAUGGAGGCAGGCUAUAAAUUCUGAGCUUACAAAUGUAUUUUCUGUGCUGUGAGUCCGUGUCACUAACAGGCUCCUCUUCACCUCUGAGAGUUUAUUCUCAAUAAACACAAGUGAAACCCCCAGCAGUUUGCAGAGGAGGAUGUUAGCAGCUAUUACUGUAUCUAAUCAAUAGAGACCCAUGAAGUGCACCAGAAGAUGCUCAGAAGCAGAGCCUAGUGCUGGCCCAGUGCUGUGUGCCUUAAAGGGUGGGGGGCAUCACAAUGGGGCCUGUAAAUUGCAGACCUGACCCAUUGAGGGCAGUGGGACUCCCUCUGGUGGCUCUACUGAGCUCUCAGGAGGGUCCCAGGAUGACCCCCACUGCAGCACCACCCACCACCACGCUCCCAGCACAGAGCAUCCCCAACCAGGUACAUCAGCAGUGUCCCUGCCCGUGUUCAUGCAGAUGCAAAACACCAUCACAGUGUGCUUCUGCUCAACUGCUCAACCAGCAGGAUGUUCUUCUCUUUCCCACUCUCUUUUUUACCCCUGUGAUGCAAAGCAGACCAGCAUGUAGAGCAACAGGGUGAUGCACCAGGCUUGGGGGCACAGGAACGCAGCCAGAGGGGGCCACAUGCAAAACCUCUGAUUUUUCCAGUCAAAAACCCCACCAAAGCCCCCUCAGCUUCCUUCCUGCCACCCACUGCAACCUGCCUGCUUGCCAGUACCCGCAGACAGGAGGAACACACCAUGGUUUUCCAACACGCAAUUGGGCGUUUUCCAUUCACAAGAGCCAGAGUUCAGUCGUGCAGCCCCCAGCCCACACUUGGCUGCACUUUGCACAUGGAUGGAGAUGGAAGAUCUGCAGUGAUCUCUGUUUGUGACAGCUAGGAAGCGACCUGCUGAUAAUGGGGAUGUUGUGCUUUGCUUCCUCUCCUGGGCUGCUCAGCCAGUGGGGGUAUUUGUGUUUCUUUCUCACAUAGUUCAGAAUGCCAAUUGCUGUCACAUUAUUUUCGUUGGGAAUUCUGUGUCAGUUCAGUUUGCUACUGAAAUGUAUCCUCCCCACAGAUGAAGGCUGUUGGGAAACCACAAGCUUCGUGAAAUUCAACAUUGGUAAGCAGCAAAAUUAUGAAACCACAGGAAAUGGAAUGAGCAAUUCCUGCAAUUCUUGCUUUUCCCCCCUCGACUCCUCUGUUGCUAUUAGGAAAAAAAAAA